AACGCACAUUGCGCCCCCUGGUAUUCCGGGGGGCAUGCCUGUCCGAGCGUCAUUGCUGCCCUCAAGCACGGCUUGUGUGUUGGGCCCCCGUCCCCGGUUCUCCCCGGGGACGGGCCCGAAAGGCAGCGGCGGCACCGCGUCCGAUCCUCGAGCGUAUGGGGCUUUGUCACCCGCUCUGUAGGCCCGGCCGGCGCCAGCCGACACCCCAACUUUAUUUUUCUAAGGUUGACCUCGGAUCAGGUAGGGAUACCCGCUGAACUUAA
rnacentral:misc_RNA from 1 species